rnacentral:rRNA from 1 species
CCCUUAGAUGUUCUGGGCUGCACGCGCGCUACACUGAUGCGUUCAACGAGUUUAUGACCUUGCCCGAUAGGGUUGGGUAAUCUUUUUAAAUCGCAUCGUGAUGGGGAUAGAUUAUUGCAAUUAUUAAUCUUCAACGAGGAAUUCCUAGUAAGCGCGAGUCAUCAGCUCGUGCUGAUUACGUCCCUGCCCUUUGUACACACCGCCCGUCGCUCCUACCGAUUGAACGUUUUAGUGAGGUAUUUGGACUGGACCUUCGGAGGUUCGCGCCUCCGUUGCUGUUCGGGAAGACUCCCAAACUUGAGCGUUUAGAGGAAGUAAAAGUCGUAACA